AUUGAACGCUGGCGGCAUGCCUUACACAUGCAAGUCGAACGGCAGCACGGGUGCUUGCACCUGGUGGCGAGUGGCGAACGGGUGAGUAACAUAUCGGAACGUACCUUAUUGUGGGGGAUAACGCAGCGAAAGCUGUGCUAAUACCGCAUAAUCCCUAAGGGGGAAAGCGGGGGACCGUAAGGCCUCGCGCAAUUAGAGCGGCCGAUACCUGAUUAGCUAGUUGGUGAGGUAAAGGCUCACCAAGGCAACGAUCAGUAGCUGGUCUGAGAGGACGAUCAGGCACACGGGGACUGAGACACGGCCCAGACUCCUACGGGAGGCAGCAGUGGGGAAUUUUGGACAAUGGGGGCAACCCUGAUCCAGCAAUGCCGCGUGAGUGAAGAAGGCCUUCGGGUUGUAAAGCUCUUUUGUCAGGGAAGAAACAGCAGCUCUAACACAGUAUGCGAAUGACGGUACCUGAAGAAUAAGCACCGGCUAACUACGUGCCAGCCGCCGCGGUAA
rnacentral:rRNA from 1 species